GAAUCUUCCGCAAUGCGCGCAAGCGUGACGGAGCGACGCCGCGUGGGUGAUGAAGGCCUUCGGGUUGUAAAGCCCUGUCAGCUGCCAAGAACUACGGGGCGUGAAUAGCGAUCCCGUUUGACUAAGCAGCAGAGGAAGCACCGGCUAAAUACGUGCCAGCAGCCGCGGUAAUACGUAUGGUGCGAACGUUGUUCGGAAUCACUGGGCUUAAAGCGGGCGUAGGCGGUUCGGUAAGUCCGUUGUGAAAGCCCUCGGCUCAACAGAGGAACUCCAACGGAUACUGCCGGGCUAGAGUGCAGGAGGGGAGAGUGGAAUUCCUGGUGGAGCGGUGAAAUGCGUAGAUAUCAGGAGGAACGCCGGUGGCGAAAGCGACUCUCUGGCCUGUUACUGACGCUGAGGCCCGAAAGCUAGGGGAGCAAACGGG
rnacentral:rRNA from 1 species